AAACUUUCAACAACGGAUCUCUUGGUUCCGGCAUCGAUGAAGAACGCAGCGAAAUGCGAUAAUUAAUGUGAAUUGCAGAAUUCAGUGAAUCAUCGAGUCUUUGAACGCACAUUGCGCCCCCUGGUAUUCCGGGGGGCAUGCCUGUCCGAGCGUCAUUA
rnacentral:rRNA from 1 species